CGGGGCCCCAGGGAGAGUCUCGCUGCCUGAAAGGCUCCUGCUCGCCUCGCGGCAACCAGGCCAGGCCUCAGGAAGCACCGGAGUCAGAGUCACAGCUUUUCAGCUGGGAUGUCAGAUAUUUACAAGGAAAUGAAUCUGAAGACUCACUUGUGAUCUCGAGGCCUCCCUCAAAAGCCUGCACAGCCCACCAUGUGAUCCACGGCCCACGGCUAAGGAGCCUGCAAGCCGAGUGUCCAAACACAGCUCUGUACCACAAGACUCUGCUGAAGCCUCAGAAAUGCAGUGAUCUGGGGAUGUAGCUGGAUAAGAGGGACUUCACCCAGCUUUCCUAAAUCCAGCAAGUGUGCCUCCCACAUCACGAGUCCCACAGCGCCACACAGGCAGCACAGUUCCACACAGACCAACAUCUGGGUUCAAGCACCUUCGCCUCUUCUCUAGGGAGCUGCUGUCCUCACGCAACCACUGGGCGAUGGAAUUCCAACUUCUACUUUAAUCUAAAACUUAACAGCAAAUUGCAACGGAGAAAAGGAAGGGGUUUCCAAGUACCCGUCCUCCUUCUGAAGAGAGUGACUCCCCCACAGCCAAGUUCUGGAAAACACAGUGGCCGAGGCAACGGGAAACAGCUGUGCCUGCAGCGGCUCCUGUGCUCCAGCGCUCCCCACUCCCACCCCUUCCCCAGGAGUCCUCAGGAGAACCUGCCGUGCAGGCCAGGUGCUGCUUCGUUCCAGGAAAGAAAGGGGCCUGGGAGAGAGAGGCGACUCCUCGUGCCCAGGAGAAGGGGGCAGAGUCAGGAGGACCACGUACUCUGCUCUGUCCAGACCUGCUGUGCUCAGCCGUGAGAAGUUCCAGUUUCACACCCACAGAAAUGCCCACCACGCACCACUCCUGGGACAGCUCAGGAUGAAUCCCAUGGCCUUAAAUACGCAUGCUUUCAGUAAAAAUGAUACAGAAACCAA